rnacentral:rRNA from 1 species
UACGUAGGGGGCAAGCGUUGUCCGGAUUUAUUGGGCGUAAAGAGCGUGUAGGCGGCCUGACAGGUCUGCUGUGAAAACUCCGGGCUUAACUCGGAAAGGUCAACUGAUACUGUGCGACUAGAGUGCAGAAGGGGCAACUGGAAUUCUCGGUGUAGCGGUGAAAUGCGUAGAUAUCGAGAGGAACACCUGCGGCGAAGGCGGGUUGCUGGGCUGACACUGACGCUGAUGCGCGAAAGCCAGGGGAGCGAACGGG